AUUUUUUUAAAAAAUUUUCACUUUUCAUUUUGUUUUUUAAAAAAACUCCCUCUCUUCUUUUGUUUCUCUCUGGAAGUGCCUGCUCCGGCGAGGGCCCCGGCCAGUCCCCGUCACCGAUCACCACCAGCGACCGUCCCCGGCCUCCAAAAAAGGCUUUGCAGGCGAUGGGACAAGGCUAGAGGGUGGUUGAAGUGUGGUCAGAGGCGGUAGCACUAGGGGCGGCAGCCACUUGGAUUAGGGGGCUAGGGUUUGUUGUUUUUCCGAAAAUAUUAUGAGCUAGGGUUUUAGUUUCGAGCC